UAAUUUUUUUAAUUUUAUAUUUUGAUAUUGCAUAUUAGUAAAAGAUUUUGUCAUAAUUUAUGAAUUAUAGAAAUAAAAUGUCGAGGUUAAAUAUUAUUUAUUUUUACGAAAUUAAUUAUAUUUUGAUCUUGUUAUCUAUAAGACGUAUUUUUAUUUCUGUUUUAUUAUUUUUAUUGUUAAGUUAUAUAUAUAUUAUUUCAUGAUUUAAAAAUUAGAUUCAUUGUAUUGUGAAUUGUUGUGUUCUAAACAUACAUAUAAUUUUUUUUUUUUUUUUUUUUUGAUUAAUUUUUUAAUUAAUUUAUAAUUUUUACUUUAGUAAUUUAUUUUUAUUGUUUUUGUUUGGUUUUUAAUUUUAUUUUUGAACUAAAUUUGUUGUUAAAUGUUUAUUAAAAACUUAGGUUUUUAUAUAAAGUUGUCUUCUGCUCUAUGAAUUUUUAAAUGGCAGCCUUAGCGUGAUGGCAUAAAAGUAGCGUAAGUGAUUUGUUUUUUUAAUGGUUUCAAGUAUGAAUGAAGUUUUUAGCGACUUUUUUACUUAUUUUGUAAAUGAAUUAUUGUUUUUAUUAAAAAUUUUAAAUUAUUUUAUUACAAAGAUAAGUCUUCGGAAAUUUUUUUUUUAAUUUUAUUAAUUUUUUGGAAUUAAAUUUUUCUUGGGGAUGGAUUUUAAGAAAUUUUUAUACUAUUUUUAUUUUUAAAAGUUACUCCGGAGUUAACAGGGUUGUGGAUACAUAUAUAGUUUUUAUAUUAUUGUACUGCGCUACAUCGAUGUUGUAUAUAUAUUGUGAAGGGUGAGAGAAUUUUUUUAGUUUGAGACUGUUCUUCUUAUAUAAAAAUUUAA
rnacentral:rRNA from 1 species